rnacentral:rRNA from 1 species
AGAGGAGCCAAGCGUUGUCCGGAUUGACUGGGCGUAAAGCGCACGCAGGCGGUUGCGCGCGUGGGGUGUGAAAUCUGGCCGCUUAACGGCCAGGCGCCAUCCCAUACGGCGCGACUGGAGUGAUGCAGAGGUCGAUGGAAUUGCCGGUGUAGUGGUGAAAUGCGUAGAGAUCGGCAGGAACACCCAGGGGGAAACCAGUCGACUGGGCAUCUACUGACGCUGAGGUGCGAGAGCGUGGGGAGCGAACCGGAUUAGAUACCCGGGUAGUCCACGCCGUAAACGAUGGCCACUCGGCCUUUGGGGGCGGAAUCUCCGUCCGUGGGGGCCUUAGCUAACGCGGGAAGUGGCCCGCCUGGGAACUACGAGCGCAAGCUUA